AUGGAGACCAGAUCGAGAGGAGGAGGAGCAGAGCAGGGGCUGAGAAAGAGAGCAAGAGCAGGAGAGCCGCGAGAUCAACCACCACCCAAUGGUUUGUACCUGGUGGUGGAGCACGAGACCGAGAACAAGUGCGAGGUGAUCAAGCCGCCGAGCCACGCCGGGGCACCCUUCGGCGCGCCGGGCAUGUCCUUCGUCGCCGUGAGUUCUUCGAACCACGGCGGCGACUGGAUCGUCGGCGUCGGCGGCAAGACCACCGUCACCUACGACGCCGGCACGUCGGAGGUGAUCCGGGGCCCGCCAGUCCUGUCCCCCAAGCACCAGCCCGUCCUCAUCUCGCACGGCGGCAUGCUCUACGCCAUCACGCGCCGCCCCCGGGUGGUGCCCUGGACGGACUUCGAGGUCCUAAGCUUCGAGGACGGCAUCCCCUCCAUUAAUUACCCCUACGCCACUGAGAAGGAGUGCUUCGCCUACUGGGAGGAGCUGCCUCCGCCGCCUUUCUUCCCCUGCAGGCUCACCCCGAUCGAGUUCCGUAAUCCGCCGGAGGUCUGCGUCGGGUCCUACGCCGCCGUGGACGGGCGCAUCUUCCUCUCCCUGCAGCAGGAGGAGGGCACCUACGUCUUCCAUGUCGCGAGCAAAACAUGGGAACGCGUUGAUGACAGUAACCUGCCUUUCAUCGGGCCGGCGGCACCCCUCUGCGAUCGCAUGUUUGCCGCCUGUACGAAAACCAGGAGCAACAAUGAGGAUGCAAUCACGCUCUUCUCCCUGCCCAUGGACGGUAGUACCAAAUGGCUUCCCAUCCGGGAGUUCGUCGUUGGGCCAACAGACCACGUCUCAAGGCAGUUUCUGUGCCCCCUCCCAGGAGGUCGAAGCUUUUGUUGGAUCAAUACAAUGCACCCAGACUCGGCUACCAGCAUCCAACUCAACAGCAAGUUGAAGUCUGUGCUGGCUACAUUUACCAUAUUUCAGCUCAAGAAUCUCGAGGGCAACGAUGAUUUCUCAGCAUCAUCAGUUACACUGGAGAAAUUGGGGAAACCGGGGCAGCUGAUACACACAUUAUCUGAGGGUGAGAGUAGUCCAGUGACUCUGAUUGCUGCACUCACUCACAAUGCAACAAGUGCCUGUGAUCUUUAA
rnacentral:rRNA from 1 species